GAAAGGGGCGGGGAGGACAGUUUAAGCUCGGACGGGCAGAGUUGCGGGUGGCAGAGUGCGGGCUCGGUGGGAGGUUCGCCGGCAGGGAGCGAGGACCGCAGCUGCCUGGGAGCGAGGAGGCGCUGGGACUCCGGGGUCAGCCCAGCACCUCGUCCUGCAGAGGAGAUCGGCGAAGCUGGGGGAUGCACCGGCUGCCAAGGCGACCCUGUGCGCAGGGAAGAGAAGGAUGGCUAAAGGAGACUUGAUUUUCUUGGAUUUGCUGCAAUUCCUUAAACCAAACCAGUCUUUCGAGGAGUUAAAGUAAAUUACGGGUGGCAGUGCAGAAGCCAAAAUGGGAGCUUCUAGAAGUGGUUUCUGAAAAAUAAGACCACAUAUACACGAGUAAGCAAGCACAGGAAUCUGAAAAAACCACAGGUCAAGAUACAGAACAUUUCAAGCGCCCCAGAAGAUUUCCUCCUUUUUACACUUCUGGUCAGUUUUCGUCCCACUUCCAACCUGAAGAUGGAGAAACUGAGCCCUGAAAGGUUGCAACAUCCUUGAAGGACUAAAGUAGCAUAUGGCUUAUUCAGGAGGUAAAGAUGAGAACAGCUUCUACUUAGUUGGUGCCCUGUUGAAGAGAAAUGCUUUUGCUCAGCUUGGAAUGAAAUGCAGAUAACCCUUUAGAAAACUUUUGUAGGAAAGCACCUCGUGUGAUCUGGAACAAAGACAUUAUAUAAUCAGAUUUAUCAAGCUGUGAAGAGGGAGUUUUAGCGAACAGAAGCAGCAUUCUGUCACCAGGAAAUACUGCUUUAUCCAGAAUUGAACCCAUAAACAGAGUGAGGAAUUCGAAAAAGUAGCAGCCCAAGAAUAUAGCAUGAAGGCUGAGAAGCAGCCAGGUAAUUAACAAAGAUUAACUGAGCAUUGCCAGUUUAGGCAAAUAUAUGUAAUACAACUAGUUUGGUUCUCCCCCCUUUUUACCUUUUCCUUUUUAAUGGGGGGAAUCAAAAUGGGUUAGUUGGUAACACUGUAGCAUUAACUUCCAUGGACGUAGAUUUCCAUUUAGUAUGGAUAGUAUGUAUGAUUUUUGGAAGAACGCUUUUAUAAUUAGGCAACUUGCCCUCCUUUUUCCAUCCCUCUACCUAAGGAUGUCAAGUAUUUAGUUAGAACUCUACAAAAUGAAAGUUUAAGUAAUGCAUUAGAAACAUUUCUUACUGAUUAUGAAAGGCAGAUUAAGAUGAUAAUCGAUUUUUUUACAUUUGUAUCAUGAAUUUUAAGAGUGUUCUAUUUGAUUCCAUUAAUAUAGCAAAAGAGUAGUUUUUUCCAUAUGGUCCAUUACACUUUGAAAGGUCCUGAUGAGCCAUGCUUACUGGUGAGCCUGUCUAUCUUUCUCCAAAACUUUUAAAUUGUUUUCUAAUCUUGAAUCUGAACUUCCUUUGUGUUUAAGUUGACCAGAAGAAUACAAUAAAGCUUUGAAGACCUGUGUUCUAUACAGUAGGUUCUUGUUCAAGAAUGCUAAGGAAACAAGUUUAUAUUAGGCAUGAAUGUCUGAUUUCUUUUCUUGGCUUUUUAAGAAUUAUUUUUGCUGGAAAAGUUGAAUAGAAUAAGAAAAUACUAUUAGAAUGGUGGGUGGCUACCUGAUUUUACCAGUUUAUUAAUGGUCAAUAGAAGCAGUCAUGUGAUAUAUAUUUAUAGAAUCAGAUAGAAAAGAAUUGUUCUUUAACUGUUAGCAACAAUAUAGGUAACUUUGGUGAUCUCUCUAUAUAAAUGUGAAUUCAUAGAAUUAAAGCUGUUAUCAGAAUUGUGCAUUUUGGGAUAUAUAGGAUAUAAUAUUAUUUAUUUUGUUUUCAGUAUCUUAAGCCAAAUUGAAGGUUGAAGCUGCAUUUCUGACUUGGUUCCCAUUCUGUUGCUUUCAAAAUCUUAAAAUUCAUAACUUGAAAUGGAAAAUGUAUAAUAAAAUGCAGGCUAGCAAUGCUGUAGUUCUCUCUGGCACUAGCGUGGGAUGAGGGUGGAGGAGAGGGAAAUGAACCCAUGGGGAUACAUUAAUUGGUAUUUUUUCUUUCAUAAUUUGAGAAUGUUAAAGAUUAUUAUUCUCAAACAGCUUUCAAAGACAUAGACAAAGAGCAAGAUAAGCAUGGCCUUUAGGGGCAGGUCCUCCAAUAAAUCAGAUCGAUGAUGCAAGUGUGAAUAUUACUAUUAUUUGACUUAAUUAAGGUGUGGCUGAAGAUGUGGAAAAAGUCUACUCAUUUCCUUGAAGCACAUGAAUUUAUGGGUUUUAGAGUCUUGAAGACAGAAAAAUGGUGAUGAAGAAUUAAGAUAUUGACAGGUAAUUUACAUCCAACUCCUAGUUGUAUGCAGUGAUUCACAAGUAUUUUCAGCUCUAUUUCAUGUAAUUACUUGGGCAAAAUAUGAUGAUUUAACAAUCUAGCUAAAGACUGCCAUGCUUAAUGGAAAAAAAGCCUCUAUAUAAUUUGUAGAUUUGACUCAUCCAUUUAGAAUCCAUUGUCGUGAAUGAAAAGACAAAAACAAAAACCGAUAGAAGCAGGCUGAAACAGUAAAUGCUGGAAAGUAUUUUCCAGAAUAAUUCUUUUAGAUCUUCAUGAUUUCAGUUCUGUUUGCUGUGCUGUUAUUUACAAAAAUAUAUGAAAACUAAAUAACAUGGCAUUGUCCUGAAUUCUCCACUGGUGUUAUUGAAAGUGUUAAUAGCGUGUAUACUCUGUAAACAGUGACAGACCUCAAAUUAGUUCCUCCCAAAUUGUAUUUGGUAUUUUUAUAGUCAGAAAUAGAAAGGCUUUCCCUUGGGGCUUGUUUCUUACAUUUUUGCUGUGGUGUACCUUUUUGCCCAAUUUGCCCAAUUUUUCAAGGUAUGUAUAUGUAUGUGUUUAUAUACUUGAUUGGAAGGGGGAGCUUUAAUUGCUAGCAAAACAAGUGGGUGUUUGUUAGAACCUAGAUAAGCCUCAUAGUGUUGUUCCUAUGACAACUGAGGGGUUGGGUGUUGAAAUGUAGCUUUAAGUUCUCAGUUUGGAAAUGUCAUUCAGACCUCCCACCACAGUCUUAUUGAGUAGGAGGAUAAUGAGAAGGGGGGAAAAACCACGAAGCAACAUAAGUAUCUCCAUUCUUUUCAUGUCUUCCUGACUUGUCUUUGUGUAUGGAUCACCAUGGGGGUGGUAAACCCUAGGUCUUGAACAAAGCAAUGCUUCAGCAUAAAAUAAAUGGAAAGAGGUCAAAAAAGUUGGGGAAGAUAAAUAACAAACAGGGGUAAUAGGCAGAAGAAGUCUUUUAUCCAGCGCGGACCAGCAGUGAGACCAUCUUGAAUGAGUUACUGUAUAUCUCUUCAAGAGCUGCAAAUAUUUCCUUAAAACGCAAUGUGGAGAAAAUUCCUUCGGAAGCAGGAUAGUUUACCACUUUGGCAUAAUGCUUAUUUAUCUCCCCUAGGCUGAUUACAGAGGACACUAUUCUUUUAAGGUACAUGCUUUUAAGUCAGUUAUUUCUCAUUUAAUAGCUUGUCUUUUUUUUUCCCUAUGGGAAAGAUCAAUCGUGCUAUUAAAAAGUGGUAAACUUGGGUAUUUUACCCUAUGUUCAAAAAUUACUUGAAAAAAAAACCCUUAAAGACUGUUAGAGACUGGUUGUUUGUGGAAAUGAUUUGGUUGACUGAGAAUCUUAUGGCACACUGUAUUGGGGGGCAAAGGUUGUUUAGACCAAUUUUGGGGAUCGAUUAGUUAUGCAGUGUGGAUUUUCCAUGCCUAAAGGGCUUCCUACUUUCUACUCUUAAAUGGUUUUUACUAUUUAUUUGGUCAUUAGCAUAUCCAGAAGUUAGAAAGGAAAAAUAGACUUCAGUGGGUUUUACCCCUUACUUAAUAUAUAGGUCCACCAUCUCUAUUGAAAUCCAAAAAGGUCUGAAAACCAAAUGAUUUUAAUGUCAAAAACUUGGUAGCAGAUCAUGACCUGAACUGACGUGAAGCUAUUUGUAGUCUUUAUCUCACUUCAUACAAAUGUUAGUAUGUUUUAUUGUAGCAAUAUUAAUAUGUUUGGUCAUGGAGUGCUGCACCAGACUUGCCUGGAAUUUUAUAUUGAUGGAAUAGUUACCCUAUUAAAUUUACAAAAUUUCAGAUAAGGAUUUGUGGACUUCUAAUUACUGAUAUGCGUGGAGCUUAUAUUAUGUGCCAGGGAUAUAAUUAUCUCCAUUUUACAUGGGAAACUGAUGCACAGAGAGGUGAAGCAACUUGCCCAAAGAAACACAGCCAGGAAAUUGUAGAGCCAGGAUUUGGAAGCCAUUAGUCUAACUGCAGCCUACUCUUAACUGAGAAUGCUUAUAACAGGUUCUCCUAGCGGGGAGUGUGCAAGUUCCAGGGGUCUCAGAGGCUCCUAAUCUCUUCACACGUUUCCUAACAUUGAUCUCUAUCAACAGUCUGACUUCUUUAGUUGGGAAAAUGAAGACAAAAAAAUAACUCUUUCCUUAGCCCCAAGGAACUUAUCUUGACUAGUGGAAAAAGUUAUUGCGUAGACAUUCCCUGGGUCCUUAACUCCAGCAGGAGGUCUGGGCUGUGAGGAAAGAGGG